rnacentral:rRNA from 1 species
GACGAACGCUGGCGGCGUGCUUAACACAUGCAAGUCGAGCGGUAAGGCCCUUUCGGGGGUACACGAGCGGCGAACGGGUGAGUAACACGUGGGUGACCUGCCCUCAGCUCUGGGAUAAGCCUGGGAAACCGGGUCUAAUGCUGGAUAUGACUCCAUGACGCAUGUUGUGGGGUGGAAAGCCUUGUGCGGCUGAGGAUGGGCCCGCGGCCUAUCAGCUUGUUGGUGGGGUGAUGGCCUACCAAGCGACGACGGGUAGCCGGCCUGAGAGGGCGACCGGCCACACUGGGACUGAGACACGGCCCAGACUCCUACGGGAGGCAGCAGUGGGGAAGUCUUGCGCAAUGGGCGAAAAGCCUGACGCAGCGACGCCGCGUGAGGGA